GGGGGCGCAACGGCUUCGACGGGAACAUGUCGGGGCUGCGGUUGCAUGCCGAGCUGAUUGACUCGUAAAUCCGAUCAACUUGAGUAGCUGCGAACAACAGCGAACUCGCACUCGCGGCCUAAUUAGGACUGCGACGCCCAACCCGGUGGUUGCUCACGCCGCCGGGACGGGUGUCAUGAAUGUGAGCUAAGGAUUCGCGGCCCGCCUCGCCGCGGAUCACGAAAACUGCGAGGCUGGUCUGCGUUCGUUUCCCGCUCUCGGGCAGAACGCAGACGAGAUCAAAUCGAGAGCUAAGCAUGUAGGAGCCGGGUCGCCACUGUUUUCGGACGCGGGUUCAACUCCCGCCGCCUCCACCA
rnacentral:tmRNA from 1 species